GUCCUAUCAGCUUGAUGGCGGGGUAACGGCCCACCAUGGCUUCGACGGGUAGCCGGCCUGAGAGGGCGACCGGCCACAUUGGGACUGAGAUACGGCCCAGACUCCUACGGGAGGCAGCAGUGGGGAAUAUUGCACAAUGGGCGCAAGCCUGAUGCAGCGACGCCGCGUGAGGGAUGGAGGCCUUCGGGUUGUAAACCUCUUUUGUUAGGGAGCAAGGCACUUUGUGUUGAGUGUACCUUUCGAAUAAGCACCGGCUAACUACGUGCCAGCAGCCGCGGUAAUACGUAGGGUGCAAGCGUUAUCCGGAAUUAUUGGGCGUAAAGGGCUCGUAGGCGGUUCGUCGCGUCCGGUGUGAAAGUCCAUCGCUUAACGGUGGAUCCGCGCCGGGUACGGGCGGGCUUGAGUGCGGUAGGGGAGACUGGAAUUCCCGGUGUAACGGUGGAAUGUGUAGAUAUCGGGAAGAACACCAAUGGCGAAGGCAGGUCUCUGGGCCGUUACUGACGCUGAGGAGCGAAAGCGUGGGGAGCGAACAGGAUUAGAUACCCUGGUAGUCCACGCCGUAAACGGUGGAUGCUGGAUGUGGGGCCCGUUCCACGGGUUCCGUGUCGGAGCUAACGCGUUAAGCAUCCCGCCUGGGGAGUACGGCCGCAAGGCUAAAACUCAAAGAAAUUGACGGGGGCCCGCACAAGCGGCGGAGCAUGCGGAUUAAUUCGAUGCAACGCGAAGAACCUUACCUGGGCUUGACAUGUUCCCGACGAUCCCAGAGAUGGGGUUUCCCUUCGGGGCGGGUUCACAGGUGGUGCAUGGUCGUCGUCAGCUCGUGUCGUGAGAUGUUGGGUUAAGUCCCGCAACGAGCGCAACCCUCGCCCCGUGUUGCCAGCGGAUUAUGCCGGGAACUCACGGGGGACCGCCGGGGUUAACUCGGAGGAAGGUGGGGAUGACGUCAGAUCAUCAUGCCCCUUACGUCCAGGGCUUCACGCAUGCUACAAUGG
rnacentral:rRNA from 1 species